rnacentral:rRNA from 1 species
CGGGUGAGUAAUACAUAAGUAACCUGCCCUAGACAGGGGGAUAACUAUUGGAAACGAUAGCUAAGACCGCAUAGGUACGGACACUGCAUGGUGACCGUAUUAAAAGUGCCUCAAAGCACUGGUAGAGGAUGGACUUAUGGCGCAUUAGCUGGUUGGCGGGGUAACGGCCCACCAAGGCGACGAUGCGUAGCCGACCUGAGAGGGUGACCGGCCACCACUGGGACUGAGACACGGCCCAGACUCCUACGGGAGGCAGCAUG